rnacentral:rRNA from 1 species
UUUUCAAGCUCCAUGGAGGAAAACCGCCAUGGCGCGUUGUAGACUAAAGGGGCGUUAUCUUGGACGGGCCGAGUAUAUAUCCGUUGGAACACGGUAUCAUAGAGGGUGAGAAUCCCGUCUUUGACUCGGAGAGCCGGCCAUGUACGUUACGCUUCCAAAGAGUCGGGUUGUUUGGGAAUGCAGCCCAAAAUGGGUGGUAAAUUUCAUCUAAGGCUAAAUAUUGGCACGAGACCGAUAGCGAACAAGUACCAUGAGGGAAAGAUGAAAAGAACUUUGAAAAGAGAGUCAAAAAGUACGUGAAACCGUUAAAAGGGAAACGAAUGGAGCUAGCAUUUGUGACGUUUCCACAAUCAGUCAGACAUAAGUCGGCGAAGUGCACAGUUAGGGACCUUUGUUGGGUUAAACUUGCAGAGGCAUAGCUGAGUAUUUGUGAACGGUUUAUGGCUGGUGCACUUGUGGACGGCACAGGCCAACAUCAGUUCGGCAUGAAACAUAAACUGUAGGAGAAGGUAGUUGCGGCGCCUCGGUGUCGUAAUGUUAUAACUCCUGCUGAGUGUUUCAGGCUGGACUGAGGAGAAGCAGCACGCAUAAUUUCGGAGAGCAACCGCUGAGGCUGCGGGUUUGGAGAAACUGCUGUGUGUCGCUUUAUUGCGUUCACAGUCAGUGCUCUGGGCCGUUAAUUUGUCAACAAACUCUUGCUUUCGGGUAGGAGAAUGRGGGCAGAAAUCAGCAGCUUUAUACGGGGUGUACCCAGACCACGUGCUUGUGAUGUUGGCGAUAAAUGGCUCCAUCCGACCCGUCUUGAAACACGGACCAAGGAGUCUAACAUAUACGCGAGUCUUUGGGUUGAAAGCCCGCAGGCAUAAUGAAAGUAAAGGCACACUCGGUGUGCUGAGGUGAGAAGGGGCCGGCUCCUUGGUGUCAAAGCCAGGGAGACGAGUUCCAGCAUCAUCGACCGAUCCGGAUGGUUCUAUCCUGAAAGAUUUGAGUAAGAGCGUAUCUGUUGGGACCCGAAAGAUGGUGAACUAUGCCUGAACAGGGUGAAGUCUGAGGAAACUCAGAUGGAAGCUCGUAGCGAUUCUGACGUGCAAAUCGAUCGUCUGAUUUGGGUAUAGGGGCGAAAGACUAAUCGAACUAUCUAGUAGCUGGUUCCCUCCGAAGUUUCCCUCAGGAUAGCUGGAACUAACAGACUCGAAGCAGUUUUAUCAGGUAAAGCGAAUGAUUAGAGGCCUUGGGGUUGAAAUAACCUCAACCUAUUCUCAAACUUUAAAUAGGUAAGAAGCCUGGCUUGCUUAAUUGAAGCCAGGCAAACUGAAUGCAAGUUCCAAGUGGGCCAUUUUUGGUAAGCAGAACUGGCGAUGCGGGAUGAACCGAACGCAAAGUUAAAGUGCCAAAGUUCACGCUCACCUAGAACCCAGAAAAGGUGUUGGCUGAUGAAGACAGCAGGACGGUGGCCAUGGAAGUCGGAACCCGCUAAGGAGUGUGUAACAACUCACCUGCCGAAUCAGCCAGCCCUGAAAAUGGAUGGCGCUCAAGCGUGACACUUAUACUUUGCCGUUGCCUUUUAUAUUUUUCAUACGAAAAAAAAUCGCAACGAGUAGGAGGGCGUGGAGGUCGUGACGCAGCUUAGGGCGUGAGCCUGAGUGAAACGGCC